GGGGAUGCUGGGUCUCGACGUGAUGUGUCCUUUCAUAAAUUGCAUAAGCGGAUCUAUCCGUCAAAUAGAAAAAACUAAAUGCAGACGCUUAUCGCGGUCAGCAGCUUGCUUAUGCGAAUGCAUAUGCAUACGUAAACUAAGCAGCCUUCGCUAUACACAGACUCCGGGGAGUGUAUAAAGCGGAGUUAACUAUGCCGGAACCUGUACCACAAGAUCUCGAUAGUAGUGAUUACAGUAUCAUAUCGACAGUCUGAAAGACGUUUGUCUUUGUACUCUUCAGACAGCAGAACACAAAGACUACCUUAUGCUAGAGGUUUUUGAAAAAACCAUUGCGGACGCGGGUUCAACUCCCGCCAUCUCCACUU
rfam:Microgenomates bacterium OLB22 TZ21_OP11001CONTIG000011, whole genome shotgun sequence.